UACGUAGGGGGCAAGCGUUGUCCGGAUUUAUUGGGCGUAAAGGGCUCGUAGGCGGUUUGUCGCGUCGGGAGUGAAAUCCACUGGCUUAACUGGUGGCUUGCUUUCGAUACGGGCAGACUGGAGGUAUGCAGGGGAGAACGGAAUUCCUGGUGUAGCGGUGAAAUGCGCAGAUAUCAGGAGGAACACCGGUGGCGAAGGCGGCCACCUGGGCCGACCCUGACGCUGAGGCGCGAAGGCGUGGGGAGCGAACGGG
rnacentral:rRNA from 1 species